rnacentral:rRNA from 1 species
GGAUUAGAUACCCGGGUAGUCCACGCCGUAAACGAUGGAUGCUAGCUGUUAGAAGUAUCGACCCUUCUAGUAGCGUAGCUAACGCGUUAAGCAUCCCGCCUGUGGAGUACGGUCGCAAGACUAAAACAUAAAGGAAUUGACGGGGACCCGCACAAGCGGUGGAGCGUGUUGUUUAAUUCGAUGGUAAGCGAAGAACCUUACCCAGGCUUGACAUCCUUGGAAUUUCUCCGAAAGGAGAGAGUGUCUUCGGAAGCCAAGUGACAGGUGAUGCAUGGCCGUCGUCAGCUCGUGUCGUGAGAUGUUAGGUUAAGUCCUUCAACGAGCGCAACCCUUAUAGUUAGUUGUAUUUUUCUAGCUAGACUGCCCUGGUAACAGGGAGGAAGGAGGGGAUGAU